rnacentral:rRNA from 1 species
GAUGAACGCUAGCGGCAGGCUUAAUACAUGCAAGUCGUGGGGCAGCAGGUCUGUAGCAAUACAGAUGCUGGCGACCGGCAAACGGGUGCGGAACACGUACACAACCUUCCUUUAAGUGGGGAAUAGCCCAGAGAAAUUUGGAUUAAUACCCCGUAACAUAAUGAAGUGGCAUCACUUUAUUAUUAUAGCUCCGGCGCUUAAAGAUGGGUGUGCGGCUGAUUAGAUAGUUGGCGGGGUAACGGCCCACCAAGUCGACGAUCAGUAACUGGUGUGAGAGCACGACCAGUCACACGGGCACUGGGACACGGGCCCGACUCCUACGGGAGGCAGCAGUAAGGAAUAUUGGUCAAUGGACGCAAGUCUGAACCAGCCAUGCCGCGUGGAGGAUGAAGGUCCUCUGGAUUGUAAACUUCUUUUAUUUGGGAAGAAAUCUAUCUUUUCUUGGAUAGUUGACGGUACCAGAUGAAUAAGCACCGGCUAACUCCGUGCCAGCAGCCGCGGUAACAC